rnacentral:rRNA from 1 species
CCUACGGGAGGCAGCAGUAGGGAAUAUUGCUCAAUGGGGGAAACCCUGAAGCAGCAACGCCGCGUGGAGGAUGAAGGUUUUAGGAUUGUAAACUCUUUUUGUGAGAGAAGAUAAUGACGGUAUCUCACGAAUAAGCACCGGCUUACUCCGUGCCAGCAGCCGUGGUAAUACGGAGGGAGCAAGCGUUACUCGGAAUAACUGGGCGUAAAGAGUGUGCAGGCGGGUUUGUAAGUCAGAUGUGAAAUCCUGUAGCUUAACUACAGAACUGCAUUUGAAACUAUGAGUCUAGAGUGUAGGAGAGGUAGGUGGAAUUCUUGGUGUAGGGGUAAAAUGCGUAGAUAUCAAGAGGAAUACUCAUUGCGAAGGCGACCUACUAAAACAUUACUGACGCUCAUGCACGAAAGCGUGGGGAGCAAACAGGAUUAGAUACCCCAGUAGUC